GCUCGACGGCGUACUUUUUGUAGAACGGUCCGACGAGUUAUGGCUGCAAGCGAGGUUAAGUACUAGAAAGUACGGAGCCGAAGGGAAACCGAGUCUGAAGUGGGCGUUAAGUUUGCGGUUAUAGACCCGAAACCGGGUGACCUAUCCAUGAGCAGGUUGAAGGUAAGGUAAAACUUACUGGAGGACCGAACCGGUGUAAGUUGAAAAUUGCUCGGAUGACUUGUGGAUAGCGGAGAAAUUCCAAUCGAACUCGGAGAUAGCUGGUUCUCCUCGAAAUAGCUUUAGGGCUAGCCUUGCGUAUGUCUGCCGGAGGUAGAGCACUGAAUUGGCUAGGGGGCUGCACAGCCUACCGAACCUUAUCAAACUACGAAUGCCGGACAGAUCAGAGCGCAGGAGUCAGACAGCGACAGAUAAAUGCCAUUGUCAAAAGGGAAACAGCCCAGAUCGCCAGCUAAGGCCCCAAAAUUACGGUUAAGUGGUAAAGGAUGUGGAUUUGCUAAGACAGCUAGGAUGUUGGCUCAGAAGCAGCCAUUCAUUCAAAGAGUGCGUAAUAGCUCACUAGUCGAGUGAGUCUGCGCCGAAAAUCACCGGGGCUCAAACCGUAUGCCGAAGCUGCGGGCGCAACUAUGUUGCGCGGUAGAGGAGCUUACUGUAAGCAGUAGAAGCACGAUCGAUAAGGACGUGUGGAUGUAUCAGUAGUGAGAAUGUCGGAAUAAGUAACGAGAGAAAAGUGAGAAUCUUUUCCGUCGAAAAUCCAAGGUUUCCUGGGGAAGGGUCGUCCUCCCAGGGUUAGUCGGGACCUAAGACGAGGCCGAAAGGCGUAGCCGAUGGACAACAGGCAGAUAUUCCUGUACUACCGAUACUCUGAUGGGGAGGGAAAUAUAAGUACCGAAGCCGGUGAUUUCACACUGACGAGAAAAGCCGCUAUCCAGAGUAAUGGUACCCGUACCGCAAACCGACACAGGUGGAUGAGGAGAGAAUCCUAAGACGAGCGGGAGAAGCGUUGUUAAGGAACUCGGCAAAUUAACCCCGUAAGUUCGCAAUAAGGGGAGCCUCGGAGCAAUCCAGGCCGCAGAUAAAUGGCCCAAGCAACUGUUUACCAAAAACACAGGUCUCCGCUAAAUCGUAAGAUGAGGUAUGGGGGCUGACGCCUGCCCGGUGCUGGAAGGUCACGGGAAUCCGUCAGAGCAAUCGAAGCGGUGAACUUAAGCCCCAGUAAACGGCGGCCGUAACUAUAACGGUCCUAAGGUAGCGAAAUUCCUUGUCAG
rnacentral:rRNA from 1 species